rnacentral:rRNA from 1 species
GUCUACUUGGAGGUUGUGCCCUUGAGGCGUGGCUUCCGGAGCUAACGCGUUAAGUAGACCGCCUGGGGAGUACGGCCGCAAGGUUAAAACUCAAAUGAAUUGACGGGGGCCCGCACAAGCGGUGGAGCAUGUGGUUUAAUUCGAUGCAACGCGAAGAACCUUACCUGGUCUUGACAUCCACAGAAUUCUGCAGAGAUGCGGAAGUGCCUUCGGGAACUGUGAGACAGGUGCUGCAUGGCUGUCGUCAGCUCGUGUUGUGAAAUGUUGGGUUAAGUCCCGCAACGAGCGCAACCCUUAUCCUUUGUUGCCAGCGGUUAGGCCGGGAACUCAAAGGAGACUGCCAGUGAUAAACUGGAGGAAGGUGGGGAUGACGUCAAGUCAUCAUGGCCCUUACGACCAGGGCUACACACGUGCUACAAUGGCGCAUACAAAGAGAAGCGACCUCGCGAGAGCAAGCGGACCUCAUAAAGUGCGUCGUAGUCCGGAUUGGAGUCUGCAACUCGACUCCAUGAAGUCGGAAUCGCUAGUAAUCGUGGAUCAGAAUGCCACGGUGAAUACGUUCCCGGGCCUUGUACACACCGCCCGUCACACCAUGGGAGUGGGUUGCAAAAGAAGUAGGUAGCUUAACCUUCGGGAGGGCGCUUACCACUUUGUGAUUCAUGACUGGGGUGAAGUCGUAACAAGGUAACCGUAGGGGAACCUGCGGUUGGA